ACCCCUAAGGCGAGGCCGAAAGGCGUAGUCGAUGGGAAACGGGUUAAUAUUCCCGUACUUGGUGUUACUGCGAAGGGGGGACGGAGAAGGCUAUGUUGGCCGGGCGACGGUUGUCCCGGUUUAAGCGUGUAGGUAUGUGUUCCAGGUAAAUCCGGUUCACUUUAACACUGAGGCGUGACGACGAGGCACUACGGUGCUGAAGCAACAAAUGCCCUGCUUCCAGGAAAAGCCUCUAAGCAUCAGGUAACAUCAAAUCGUACCCCAAACCGACACAGGUGGUCAGGUAGAGAAUACCAAGGCGCUUGAGAGAACUCGGGUGAAGGAACUAGGCAAAAUGGUGCCGUAACUUCGGGAGAAGGCACGCUGACACGUAGGUGAAGUGAUUUACUCACGGAGCUGAAGUCAGCCGAAGAUACCAGCUGGCUGCAACUGUUUAUUAAAAACACAGCACUGUGCAAACACGAAAGUGGACGUAUACGGUGUGACGCCUGCCCGGUGCCGGAAGGUUAAUUGAUGGGGUCAGCGCAAGCGAAGCUCCUGAUCGAAGCCCCGGUAAACGGCGGCCGUAACUAUAACGGUCCUAAGGUAGCGAAAUUCCUUGUCGGGUAAGUUCCGACCUGCACGAAUGGCGUAAUGAUGGCCAGGCUGUCUCCACCCGAGACUCAGUGAAAUUGAACUCGCUGUGAAGAUGCAGUGUACCCGCGGCAAGACGGAAAGACCCCGUGAACCUUUACUAUAGCUUGACACUGAACAUUGAGCCUUGAUGUGUAGGAUAGGUGGGAGGCUUUGAAGUGUGGACGCCAGUCUGCAUGGAGCCGACCUUGAAAUACCACCCUUUAAUGUUUGAUGUUCUAACGUGGACCCGUGAUCCGGGUUGCGGACAGUGUCUGGUGGGUAGUUUGACUGGGGCGGUCUCCUCCUAAAGAGUAACGGAGGAGCACGAAGGUUGGCUAAUCCUGGUCGGACAUCAGGAGGUUAGUGCAAUGGCAUAAGCCAGCUUGACUGCGAGCGUGACGGCGCGAGCAGGUGCGAAAGCAGGUCAUAGUGAUCCGGUGGUUCUGAAUGGAAGGGCCAUCGCUCAACGGAUAAAAGGUACUCCGGGGAUAACAGGCUGAUACCGCCCAAGAGUUCAUAUCGACGGCGGUGUUUGGCACCUCGAUGUCGGCUCAUCACAUCCUGGGGCUGAAGUAGGUCCCAAGGGUAUGGCUGUUCGCCAUUUAAAGUGGUACGCGAGCUGGGUUUAGAACGUCGUGAGACAGUUCGGUCCCUAUCUGCCGUGGGCGCUGGAGAACUGAGGGGGGCUGCUCCUAGUACGAGAGGACCGGAGUGGACGCAUCACUGGUGUUCGGGUUGUCAUGCCAAUGGCACUGCCCGGUAGCUAAAUGCGGAAGAGAUAAGUGCUGAAAGCAUCUAAGCACGAAACUUGCCCCGAGAUGAGUUCUCCCUGAGACUUUAGGUCUCCUGAAGGAACGUUGAAGACGACGACGUUGAUAGGCCGGGUGUGUAAGCGCAGCGAUGCGUUGAGCUAACCGGUACUAAUGAACCGUGAGGCUUAACCUUACAACGCCGAAG
rnacentral:rRNA from 3 species